AUGAGGCGGGUGACAAGACUGACGGUGCUCCUGAUCUUGAGUACUUUGAGCCUUGCUAAGACCACCCAGCCUCUCUUCACUGACGCAUAUGAAGGACAAGAGGUGAACAUACCCUGUAACCACAGCAACAUUGCUACAAAUGAGUACAUCUUCUGGUACCGACAGUUCCCCAACAAGGGACCACAAUUUGUUAUUCGAGGAUUUAAGACAAACGAGACAAAUGAAGUGGCGUCUCUGUUCAUCCCUGCAGACAGGAAGUCCAGCACCCUGAGCCUGCCCCAGGUUGCCCUGAGAGACUCUGCCGUGUACUACUGCAUCGUGAGUGACACACAGUGAGACAGACGGGGCUGCACCUGUGCAGUA